CAGCCGCCGCGGUAAUACGUAGGUGGCAAGCGUUGUCCGGAAUUAUUAGGCGUAAAGGGCUCGCAGGCGGUUUCUUAAGUCUGAUGUGAAAGCCCCCGGCUCAACCGGGGAGGGUCAUUGGAAACUGGGAAACUUGAGUGCAGAAGAGGAGAGUGGGAUUCCACGUGUAGCGGUGAAAUGCGUAGAGGUGUGGAGGAACACCAGUGGCGAAGGCGACUCUCUGGUCUGUAACUGACGCUGAGGAGCGAAAGCGUGGGGAGCGAACAGGAUUAGAUACCCCUGUAGUCCCUGUCUCUUAUAC
rnacentral:rRNA from 1 species